CAACAGACCUUAGUUUUGUGAGGAUCUUCUGGUGUUUACUUCUUUGUACAUGUGAGUUUACUCCAGCUUGAGGAGUUAAGUUUUCUUGGGGAAAGGUUCCUCAUAGACGACAGAAAUGAAGCCUAAUCGGGUUGAUAUUACUAAUGACGAGGAAUUAUUGGUAAGUCUGUGAGCUAUCUGACCAAGGUGGAACCUUCGAUAAGUAAUUAUUCUAUGAUGGACGAGGACGCAUUAAGUCGUCAUCUUGAAGGUACCAUCGCAGGGAGCUGAAUGUUGAAAAGACUGAAAACUACCCUGUUCAUCACUAUGAAGCCAAAAAAAACUCAAGAUAUAAGGCAGUGACACUGGAUUAUUUUUUGGCCGCACACACCAACACCAGUCAACUAUAGACCACAGAUUUGAGAGAACAACGUCGUCGACAAUGGAAAGGACAGAGAUUCUUCAAUUACAAGGAAAAGGUCUGUAAACCUUUACGAAAAAGUUUGUCACGAAAGGUCUGAUAAGUCGAAAGUAUUCAAGGUAUGAGGAAGUAACACGAUACACCAUAACUCGUAGAUUAUGGGUACCUGUUAUCACAGGACGUAGCAGCUAAUUUAGCGAAUUUACGAAAAAAGGGUCUUAAAACCCGACUGACUGAGCUAUGAUCUACCAGAUCUCUCGUCAGGGUUUUCCAGAUAAUUUUUUUCGUGGAUGGUUCUUCGGCAAGAAUUCAGUGUUACUGCCUCACAACCUCGAGUACUUUCGUCAAAAACAUUGAAAAGCUAAUCUGGGAUAAACGAUUAGAUAAACAUUCAUCUAGCCCAUAGAAAAAGUUCAAUCUAUGUAAACUGAAGGGCAGUUUUAAAGGAUAAUUAAGCUUUUGGCUUUAUUAUAAUUAAUUAUUUUU